GCUUGAUUCUUUUUUGAUUGCAGGUUCUUUUCUGGUUGCAUAAUUCGAUAGAUUCGAUAAAUUGAUCGUAAAUAUCUUGGACGGCAUCAAUGGCUUCAUCUUAACGAAAAAUUGAACAUCUACUUUUCUAAAAAAAAUUAUAAAUUAGUUAUUAUGCUCUUAAUGAAAGAAAAUAUCUGAUCCUAUUUUAUUUAAAAUGUUAAGAGUAUUU
rnacentral:lncRNA from 1 species